GGGGAAGUGUUUGUUUACAUUUAUAGGUUAUCUUUUAAUCAAAUUCAUUUCAUAAUGUGAAAGUAAGUCUAUCAACGUUCCAUAAUUUUCGUCCCUUGCACCGAAUGUGAUUUAUCUAAGUAAUUCCAGGUUAUUAUCAGGUGCUAUUUCGGCUGCUGUACCGCUGAUUACAACCAUUAAGGAUGGCUUUCGAAGAAAUGAGAGCCCAAGCAAGGAAGAUUGAUGAAGGAAUCAAUGCUCUAGAAAAGAAACUUCAGAACCCAUCACUGAUCGGAUACUUGGAUGAUGAUGUGCAGGAGCGGGCAGUUCAAAUUCUGGAUGAACUUUUACAAGAAAUGGACAUCAUUGAUAGCGAAGUGUCCAAGUAUUCAGCAGAUAUGACUGAAGACCUUCAUGAUAUCAAAAGCAACUGCGAAAGUCUCGAGAACUAUAUUGAAACAAUGGAAGAGAACAUUGACACAAUGACAGAAUUCGGAAAACAGUAUGGAUAUGUUCCUCCAGCUCAUUUAGUUGAGACUGUUGAGUCAGAAGAUUCUGAUUUGUCACAACUAUCACAAAAUUAUGAAAGUUCAGUUAAGAUUGAAGAUGAAACUCCAAUUUUAAUUGAUAGUGGCAUGUCAAACUCACUGAGAUCAGAUAAUUUAUCAGUUGCAACCAAUGAGACAUGGGAGCAAGGACGCAGGCCUGCAAGUCAAAUCAUGAAUGAAACCUUCACAACACCAUGUUCAAUGUAUAAAGUACGCCAUCUCAACCUACCGGAUGUUUCGGACGUAAAGAACCUCUCAUUCAGUAAGCUCUCCCCUGCAAUGGCAUCAUCUAGCCCCAAGUAUCUGAAACCUAAAUUCAACCUAGAUGAAACAGCAUCUACUCUUUCUGAUGCAGCAUUCACAAUUAACAGCUCUGAGUCAUCAUCUUUCUCUGUCAACCCACGGCGCCUGUCUAGAUAUCCUGUUGCCACAAAUCAUCUUCAAACACCUCCGGAACCUGAGCUAUCCUCUCUUAGCCGGAGACUCUUACACAAAUCGGCCGUCAAAAAAAAAUUUUAGUCAAUUAAUCGGAAAACCUGUAUGUUUUUAUUGAGACUGUGAUAUUUUAGAGCAUGAGUGUGCUGAAGAUGUUAAUGCUUAAAUCCAACAGCCAGCAAAUUGUUGGAAUUUUUUACUGUUUGUCGUCUGACAAGACAAGGGUGGAUUGAAGUGAUAAUGGAGAAUACUUCGUAUAGCCAAAAAAGAUUUUCGAUAACAAUGCAGUUAACUUUUUUCUUCAGGGACACUGCAAAAACCAUUCAAGAAAUACAUGUUUGAUCGGUGUUUUUGGGUAACUUGAUAAAGGCCUUAAAGACUGUUCAGUCAAUAUAGGCAUAAAUUUUACCUACCAAAAUAUGGAAGAUCUAAAAAAUUGUGGUACAGGUUGUUUAUCCACUUAACACUCACCAUUACCCUGAAAUUGGAGAAAUAUCAUUCAGUGGUGUGGUACAUUAUGUGUACAGAACGCACAAAAGUCACUGGAAACCUAUCAAAAUAGGCAGAUGGGAGAUUCGGACCCUCCCCAUACCUUGGCGUUUCGGCUUACAGCAAAUCUUUGUUCUUCAUUGAAUUACAUAUGAUGGAUCUCUGGAGCCACCAUAUACUUAAAUUUUAGCGUUUCAUAGGAAUAUUUUCCAUAUGCCUAAGGCUUUGAAAAAAAAAAAACGAUUUCUUGACUCCUAAUAACUUGACCUCAAUAGGGUUUUUUGAGCUUGGGAAGAUGAUCCAGGACUUAAGGAAUUUGAAACGCCAAUUGCGGCAGAAGCGACCUGACUAAUGGGGUCCUUUUUUUCAGUAAAAGCCUCAAUUCAAGUCAUGUGAUCGGUCAGCUUUGCUAGUCAGUCGUCCCUUUUGUCAAGCCGAUGUCAGGAGGAAUUGAUGCCAAGCUAAAGGCAUUUUAAGCUGCCUAUACCUUGUUGUUGACUCUUAGUGGCAGAAGCUUCACAAAGAGGACGACUGACAAAGCUGACCAAUCGCUUAACUCUAUUUCAUUGUAGUUUUCUCUUGUCUCGAGGUCAACAAGUAUGAGAUUUCUAAAAUUAAGAGUUGUUCAUAAAAUAGGUGACCCUUUUCGGAUUUUUUGACCCUCUUCCCCUUUCAUGAGGAAGGUCUCCAUGCUACAACUUGUAAAAACAAAAUGGCGUAAUCAGCUCCUACUCCCCAAACGUUAAGUAUUUAUGAAUGAUAUUUCAGUCUGCUGCUCCAAAGAUGUAUUAAAGUUUAAAAUAAGGGUUUUUUAUUGCCCUCUAAAUGGAAAAAAUUGUGAUGUAGCAAGCUACAUCAGCACCGAGGAGUUAAGAAUCCUCCAAAUAGUGAAAAUUAAAAACAUGAGAGAAUUGUUUGAAUUUUAUAAGGAUCCUCUAGAGUUCAGUUGUGUGUUUGAACAUUAAACUCAUUUUGCUACUGGUUGAAUUAAUUGCAGAAUCAAAAGUUGAAGCAACGAAGAGCAAUUUCAUCAAGAUUUGUAUGACACCGUUGAUUUUAAAUUUUACAUUUCUUUCUAUUGGUCUAUUUUUACCACUAUAUUUCAUGAUGGUCUUGGAAUGAAAGUAGUAGUCUUUAAAGUACACAUUGUAGCUUUGAUGUGUCAACCUCUAGUGAGGAAGCUUUGGUUUAUGCAAAAAACAAGAGAAUUCUGUAAAGUAGUAUUAGAGGUUUAAUUUCUUCCAGAAUUUUUUUUAAUGUUGUUAUACAAAAAAAUCAAUUUAUGACUCUGAUGACAAAGCUGCUAAAAAGUUCUUAGAAAUUUUAAUGUACAGUGAACUUUGUGAAAGGUGUAGGGCAGGAAAGUGAAGUACAUUUCAAUGUUGUAAAGAGCUAAUUAUCGUCCUUUCAAUUUUCAUGAAUGGUGAUUGGAGCAGUUGAUUACAAACUUCUAGCUAAAUGUUCCCUGUAAUUUUGAUUUAUCCUUUUUACAGUUCAAAAUUGGAAGAUACUAGCAUAAUUGAAAAGAGCUAGACCCUUUCCUGCUCUGGACUCUUCGAUUUCGAUGUGACAAUUUUUUUUUUUUUUUUUUUUCAAAUUGAUAAUAGCAUCAGAUGAAUAAUACUUCUUUUUCUGCCUUGCCUGGUAAAGACGGGAUGCAUAUGAGGAAAAAUAGUAAAUUGAACAAUGGAGAUUUAUAAAGAAAUAUGAUUGAAAAUCAGAGAACUUUAUUCCUAAGAAUUUGAUCGUUAACUAACUCUUCCACAAAGCUGAGGCCUUUUGUAAAAAUAUGUGUGUUGUUUGUAAAUAUAUAUAUAGUGAAAUUAACAAGAAUAAAUUAGGGAGCAAAUAAUUUACAGCAUUCAUGACACAAUUUUUAUUUCAUCAUGGUCCUCUAAUGAAGAACAUUAAACUAAGCUUUUCAAGUAUACCCUUUGCAAUGGCAAAGUUUUUGCUCAUCCUAACUAUUUUAACUAACUGCCAAGUAUUGCCUUGCAAACAGCAUAUAUCCAUGUCAGAGAAUUCUUUGUGCAUGCCGAGAAGGACUGCUUCACUGAUGAAAUACCACUGCAAAUCUGAGAAUUCCCUAUUUAACCUGGGAGAAUUCUAAUUUCUUCAAAUUGGCUUGCAACGGCCACACUGUACACACAUCAAUCUGCAAUUAAAAAUUAGAAAUGCCACAAUUUAGUUGAUGAGAAUCCAACAGGAAAUAAAAAUUAUUUGAAAGACAGUCAACGACUGUAAUACAUUUUUGGCGUAUUUGAGUCACUUGUGUCUGUGUUAGACUCUCAUGAAGUGUCUCUACUGCCUCUCAUGUUUUACAUGUGCUAAAGUGACAGGAUAAUUUUUGGUGGGCGAAUGAAAUAACAUACUAAUAAUUUUAUUAAAGUUUGAGUGAUGAAAUUUUUCUUUUUGUGUCUUAUUUGCUUCUAUUUCUAUUUUAUUAAAAUUUUAAGUUUAGUCCAACUUAUAAUUCUCAAAAUUAUAAUUAAAUUUAGUCCAUUUAAAUUUUAAUAAAGAAGUUUAAACUUAUAUUCAUUUAAAGUUACAAUUACUAUGAAGUUUGCCGUUUAGUAUAUAGGUACCUCAGAACAUGUGCAGAAGCUCUUCAUGAGUGCACUGACACUAUUGACUCAAAAUCGCCAAAAAAAAGUCUGUUUGCAAAUCUUCAUGCAUUCAAAGGGUUGACAUAAGAAGAAAAGAAAGAAAAUUAUUCGUAUUCCUCGACUGUACCUAUUGCACAUGCAUGUUACAAGCAGUCUGGGGGCGGUGGCACCCCACCCCCUCACCGAAUGUACCUUCCGGCCUCAAUACUUCGAGGAUGCGAUGGAUUAAAAAACUCUCAUUUUUUCUUUUUCCCAAGUUUACCACGAAAGGAGGGGUUGCGAUUUGGGCCGAAAUCGGCCCCUCCACGGAAUUGAAUAAUUUUUGGAUAUUUGGCAGUUUACGGUGCAUAUAUGACGGAAAUAAUCGAGUUUUGCCGAUACUCAGGUUUUUUGGCUGCGAAACAGGGGCCUAAACAUGGCUCCGUGGCCGAAAAUAGCUGAAAUUUCGCGCUUUUCGCGGUUCUACCUCAGAUUUCGACCUGGGCCCAAAGGCGACGGGUGAUGAGCUUCGAAUAUGUUGUCUGGGACACCUAGAGACAUAACAUACUUGAAUAUGAUCAACCGUCGCCUUUGGGCCCAACCUCAAAAUCGAACUUUUCCAACUAUUUAGCCCGAAAUAGCUAACAAUCCAUGUUUUUCGCGGUUCUACCUCAAAAUCGACCUGGGCCCAAAGGCGACAGGUGAUGAGCGUCGGAUAGGGUGUCUGGGACACCUAGAGACGUAACAUACUUGAAUAUGAUCAACCGUCGCCUUAGGGACCAACCUCAAAAGCGAGCUUUUCCAACUUUUUAGCCCGAAAUAGCUAAAAAUCCAUGUUUUUCGCGGUUCUACCUCAGAUUUCGACCUGGGCCCAAAGGCGACGGGUGAUGAGCGUCGGAUAUGGUGUCUGGGACACCUAGAGACGUAACAUACUUGACUAUGAUCAACCGUCGCCUUUGGGCCCAACCUCAAAAGCGAGCAUUUCCAACUGUUUAGCCCGAAAUAGCUAAAAAUCCAUGUUUUUCGCGGUUGUACCUCAGAUUUCGACCUGGGCCCAAAGGCGACGGGUGAUGAGCGUCGGAUAGGGUGUCUGGGACACCUAGAGACGUAACAUUCUUGACUAUGAUCAACCGUCGCCUUUGGGCCCAACCUCAAAAGCGAGCAUUUCCAACUGUUUAGCCCGAAAUAGCUAAAAAUCCAUGUUUUUCGCGGUUGUACCUCAGAUUUCGACCUGGGCCCAAAGGCGACGGGUGAUGAGCGUCGGAUAGGGUGUCUGGGACACCUAGAGACGUAACAUACUUGACUAUGAUCAACCGUCGCCUUUGGGCCCAACCUCAAAAGCGAGCUUUUCCAACUUUUUAGCCCGA
rnacentral:lncRNA from 1 species